rnacentral:rRNA from 1 species
CCUACGGGUGGCUGCAGUGGGGGAUAUUGGACAAUGGGGGGAACCCUGAUCCAGCGACGCCGCGUGAGUGAAGAAGUAUUUCGGUAUGUAAAGCUCUGUCAGCAGGGAAGAAAGCAAUGACGGUACCUGACCAAGAAGCCCCGGCUAACUACGUGCCAGCAGCCGCGGUAAUACGUAGGAUGCGAGCGUUAUCGGGAUUUAUUGGGUUUAAGGGGUGCGUAGGCGGGCUGUUAAGUCAGCGGUCAAAUGUCGGGGCUCAACCCCGGCCUGCCGUUGAAACUGGCGGCCUCGAGUGGGCGAGAGGUAUGCGGAAUGUGUGGUGUAGCGGUGAAAUGCAUAGAGAUCACGCAGAACUCCGAUUGCGAAGGCAGCAUACCGGCGCCCGACUGACGCUGAGGCACGAAAGCGUGGGUAUCGAACAGGAUUAGAUACCCGAGUAGUC